AUGAUAUUCACUUUCAUGACAAGAAAAUCCUGUUGCUCGAAGCAGGUCCAAAGAAAGUACUGGAGAAAUUGUCAGAAACUUACAGCAACAGGGUCAGCUCCAUUUCCCCUGGCUCUGCAACGCUUCUCAGUAGUGUGGGACGCCUGCUCAGAGGCCCUGAUAAUGUUUGAUAAGGAUAAUUUAGAUGACAUGGGCUAUAUCGUGGAGAAUGAUGUCAUCAUGCAUGCUCUCACUAAGCAGUUGGAGGCUGUGUCUGGUGAGGCCCCCAUCUUCCAUCUUGCAUUCAUUGGGAAGUGAACUGCUUAGGACUUACUGGAAGAAAGGAUCUCUUUUACAAUAUUCAGUGUCCACCAUAAAGAAAUCCUCUGAUGGCCGGGUGCGGUGGCUCACGCCUGUAAUCCCAGCACUUUUGGAGGCUAAGGCGGGCGGAUCACGAGGUCAGGAGAUGGAGACCAUCCUGGCUAACAUGGUGAAACCCUGUCUCUACUAAAAAUACAAAGAAACAAUUAGCCGGGCAUGGUGGCGGGCGCCUAUAGACCCAGCUACUCGGGAGGCUGAGGCAGGAGAAUGGCGUGAACCCAGGAGGUGGAGCUUGCAGUGAGCCGAGAUCACGCCACUGCACUCCAGCCUGGGCGACAGAGCAAGACUCCGUCUCAAAAAAAAAAAAAAAAAUUCCUCUGAUGAUUAUUUCACGGUGCUGGAUACUUAGAAGUGGAAUUGCUGGGUCAUAUAAUAAUUCUAUGUUUAAUAUUUUCAGAAGCUGCCAAACUUUUCUGAAGAGGCUAUACAAUUUCACUUUCCCACCAGUCUAUAAGGGUUCCAGUUUCUCCACAUCCUCACCAACGCUUAUUUUCCUUCUGUAAAAAAAAAACCGUAGCCAUCCUGUUGAGAGUGAAGUGGUAUCUCAUUGUAGUAGUGGUUGCAUUUCCUUAAUAACUAAUGAUGCUGAGUAUCUUUUCAUGUCCUUACUGGCCAUUUGUGUAUCCACUUUGGAGAAAUGUCUGUUCAAAAUAUUUUGCCUGUUUUUAAAUUGGAUUAUUUGUUUUUGAGUUAUAGGAGUUCUUUAUAUAUUUUAAAUAUAAAUUUAUCAGUUAUGCGGUUUGCAAAUAUCUUAAUGUUC
rnacentral:sRNA from 1 species